rnacentral:misc_RNA from 1 species
UUGGGGAGGUCGACGAGGUGGGACUCAAACCCCGGGAAGUCCACCAUGCUGUCCGUCCGGAGCGGGUCCGUGCCGCAGAAUGCCGCCAGUGCUACCACCAGCAGCGUCGCGGCCACUACAACCGGCGACGGCAUCGCGCUAGCCCGCUACCUCGUCUCUCGCCCGCGGCUCACCCACUCGCCUCCGUCCGCCGUCGCCUCGCUCUCGCGGGGUUUCGCUUGGAUUUCUCUACACACUCCCCCCGAUCUGCCUCACCUUCCAUGUAGAGCACGGAUCGAGAGCCGAUGCGUCGUCUCUCCUCGCCUUCCACGGGUAGCGAGCCCCGGACUUGCAUCUGGAGACCUAGAUUCCAUCGAUCUGGGCAAGCGCGGCGCGGACGCUGUCAAUCUAGGCGAAUCUGGAGAGCGCGGAUCGAGGCCGCAAUCCUGUCCGAGCAGUGAUCCCGUCGAUUUGGGCGCCGGCCUCGCCUUCCAUGUAGAGCGCGGGAGCAGGGGAGAGCGCAGAGCAGGGAUUCCGUCGAUUUGGGCGUCGGCCUCACCUUCCAUGUAG